GUGGGGAAUAUUGCACAAUGGGGGAAACCCUGAUGCAGCGACGCCGCGUGAGUGAAGAAGUAUUUCGGUAUGUAAAGCUCUAUCAGCAGGGAAGAAAGGCUCGCAAGAGAGAUGACGGUACCUGACUAAGAAGCUCCGGCUAAAUACGUGCCAGCAGCCGCGGUAAUACGUAUGGAGCAAGCGUUAUCCGGAUUUACUGGGUGUAAAGGGAGCGCAGACGGACGCGCAAGUCUGAAGUGAAAACCCACGGCUCAACUGUGGGCCUGCUUUGGAAACUGCGUAUCUAGAGUGCCGGAGGGGCAAGCGGAAUUCCUAGUGUAGCGGUGAAAUGCGUAGAUAUUAGGAGGAACACCGGUGGCGAAGGCGGCUUGCUGGACGGUAACUGACGUUGAGGCUCGAAGGCGUGGGGAGCAAACAGG
rnacentral:rRNA from 1 species